GGCGCGCGCUUCAGGCGUGGUGGGCGGAGCCCGGGGAGGAGCGGGGUGGGGAACGGCCCGGGACUCGCACGUGGAGGUAGAGGGCGGACGCCUACCUCAGCCAGGGCAAGACUGAGGAGCAGUUCCUGGGAGCAGCACAUUGUGGCUGCAGCAAGAUAUUGUGAAAUAUCAGAUCAUAAAGGACAGAGGAAUCCUGAAGAGGAUAAAAUCAUAGAGAGACGGGGCCAGUUAACAUUACCAAAGGAGCUGGGCUUGGAGGUAUUAAUCUUAAGAGCCCUCCCUAAUGAACACCCUGCAUGCUAGUCUCUGUCUCAUUCUGCCUCCCUGGGAGCUCACCUUGCCAAUGGGAGUGAAAUGGUCUUUAAGUAAGAGAAUGAGAGGUGAGAUUGGUUUGGGUGGUGAUAACUCAGAUCAGUGUGAGGAUGCGCUAAGCUGGGGAAAGACUGGAGGAGAGAUCAGUUAGGAAACGAGCAAGAUUCCAGGUAAAAGAUGAUGAAGUCUUGGGUAAGGGUAGAGGCAAAAGCAACUCUAUGCAUUGUCGCCAGCUUUCCUGUGACCAGCCUCAUGGAGCCUAGUCCAUAACAUGUUAGCUAAAAGAAGUUCUUCCUCAUAGGCAACACAAGUGAAAAUAGACAAAUCAGAUUACAUCAAACUAAAAAGCUUCUGCACAGCAAAAGAAAGAAUCAACAGGGUGAAGAGACAACCUAUGGAGUGGGUGAAAAUUGCAAACCCAUCUAAUAAAGGAUUAAUAUCCAAAGUAUAUUAGGAGCCCAAACAACUCACUAGCAAGAAAACAACCUGAUUUAAAAAAUGAGCAAAGGACCUGAAUAGACAUUUCUCAGAAGAAGACAUACA